UGUAUUCACUACUGUAAGUCGCUCUGGAUAAGAGCAUCUGCUAAAUGACUUAAA
rfam:Salmo salar isolate Sally breed double haploid chromosome ssa17, whole genome shotgun sequence.